GUGGGGAAUUUUGCGCAAUGGGGGCAACCCUGACGCAGCAACGCCGCGUGCGGGACGACGGCCUUCGGGUUGUAAACCGCUUUCAGCAGGGAAGAACCUCUGACGGUACCUGCAGAAGAAGCCCCGGCUAACUACGUGCCAGCAGCCGCGGUAAUACGUAGGGGGCGAGCGUUAUCCGGAAUGAUUGGGCGUAAAGCGCGCGCAGGCGGCCGCUCAAGCGGGACCUCUAACCCCGGGGCUCAACCCCGGGCCGGGUCCCGAACUGGGCGGCUCGAGUGCGGUAGGGGAGAGCGGAAUUCCAAGUGUAGCGGUGAAAUGCGCAGAUAUUUGGAAGAACACCGAUGGCGAAGGCAGCUCUCUGGGCCGUCACUGACGCUGAGGCGCGAAAGCCGGGGGAGCGAACAGGAUUAGAAACCCUAGUAGUCC
rnacentral:rRNA from 1 species